rnacentral:rRNA from 1 species
UACGAAGGGGGCUAGCGUUGUUCGGAAUCACUGGGCGUAAAGCGCACGUAGGCGGAUUGUUAAGUCAGGGGUGAAAUGCCAAGGCUCAACCUUGGAACUGCCUUUGAUACUGGCAAUCUCGAGUCCGGGAGAGGUGAGUGGAACUGCGAGUGUAGAGGUGAAAUUCGUAGAUAAUCGCAAGAACACCAGUGGCGAAGGCGGCUCACUGGCCCGGUACUGACGCUGAGGUGCGAAAGCGUGGGGAGCAAACAGG